rnacentral:rRNA from 1 species
UACCAGCACCCCGAGUGGUCGGGACGUUUAUUGAGCCUAAAGCAUCCGUAGCCGGUUCUGCAAGUCUUCCGUUAAAUCCACCUGCUUAACAGAUGGGCUGCGGAAGAUACUAUAGAGCUAGGAGGCGGGAGAGGCAAGCGGUACUCGAUGGGUAGGGGUAAAAUCCGUUGAUCCAUUGAAGACCACCAGUGGCGAAGGCGGCUUGCCAGAACGCGCUCGACGGUGAGGGAUGAAAGCUGGGGGAGCAAACCGG